GUGUUCAGUUAUUCGGCAGCCCAUAUACUAACAUUACAACAGUGUAGGGAAGAUUAGCACGGCCCUUGAGCAAGGAUGGCACGACAAUCUAUCCAUCUCUCCGUACAUUA